GGGGCCGCGCAAUCCGAGGCGCGGGUGUCGUUCUACUUACUUUCUCCUGCCGGGGCUCCCGGGCUUCCUGGCCCCAUUUCCCAGCCCGGGACAUCUACUGCCUCUGGCACAGACCGGGACAGCCCCAAGGGCGAAUCCGCCUCCCGGCCUCCUCCUCCGGGCCUGGGGCGGAGGCUUGGGAGCGGGAACUACGGCCCAGCCAGCUCGGGGGGAGCGGCGAGGCCCGGGGGAGCCGCGUGGGGGCCGCUCCGACAUUGCGCGGGGGAGCUCCCUCCUGGGCUUGGGACGGGGGUCCUGUGAACGGGGCGGAUUAAGUUACAGGCGCUUGGGGAAGGGGCUGGUCGUUAAACAUGCACUAGCGCCCCAGCCCGGCGCGCAGGUGCAGAAAGGAGCGGCCCUCGCGCCCUCCUCCCUUUCAGGAGCGCGAUGCUCAGGGCUGUGGCGGUGUACCCCCGAGGCUGGUCCCCUAGGAAACGGGGGAGCGCCACCUGCUGGGGAAAGCCUGGGGACCGUGGCCGGCGCAGAGCAGGUGCCGGAGCGGGGCUGAGAAGAGGAGGGUGUCGGGAAAAGCUGAGCUGCAGGGGGCACCCGGAGACCUGCGGAGGCCGUGAUGCCGCCCGACGGCGGGGGCCUACGGCCAAACCGAGGGCCACGCCCCUCCCCCACGGCGGGGGCCUACGGCCAAACCGAGGGCCACGCCCCUCCCCCGAAGGGAAGCGGUGGGGGAGGGGGAGGAUGCUAACUGUGGGGCUGACGCUGCGUGGGGGCACAGCGAAAAUGGACCGCUUGCUCCUGCUAGAACCUGCUAAAACCUCCGCUCUCCAGCUACGGCUGCCCUUCGUGCCCCCGUUUCGGGUUUUCCUGGCAGAGACGCCGGAAGGAUCGACAUUUCCUUCUUCAGCUUGUUUUACAGAUGAGGAAACUGAGCUUGGACGUGCAAAGAUCUUGUCCAGUCCAUCCUCAAGCCUUCCUGAUACCUCCAUUCACCCAGAAGCAGAGUGAUAAUGGAUUCCCGGUUCAAGACUGGCAGCCACUUCAGGUGUUCAAGCCUUGGCUUAACCCCAGGAAGCCUUGAUACCCCAGGACUUCUUUCAAGAAGAUCAAGAGUGUUCAAUUCCCCACCUUUAACACUACCUAUGGAGGCAGCCAGGUUGGGCAGUGGAUAAAACACUGCCCUGGAAUCAGGAAGACCCGAGUUCCAAAUCAGCCUCAUCCACUGAACACACCUCAAAACAGGGUUGGGGGGAGGCAGAAAAAGGCUGUGGCCAUAGAAUGUUAGAACCAGAAAGGUUCUAGAAGCUGGAUCUUCAUGUUGCAGAGACAGUACCUUAGGAGCAGAGAAAAGUGGCGUCUCCCUCCCAUUCACCAAAUGGUUGAGCCAGGAAUAGACAUGUCAGUGUGAUACAGUUGGAGGGCAUUAUAGGGGCCCUAAGUUUGCGUCCCAGGGACUAUGUGGGCAAAUCCCUCGAGAAUCUGGCUCUCCUUAAGAGGAGAUGCUGCUUCUCAGGGAUGGACACGGUGUGCAGUGUUGUACAUCCAGGAUCCCGUUAACCUUAGAGUCAGGCCCAAUUACUGUGGGUCUUGAGCCAGAAAGCCGGACGCAGCGUGCAAUGUUGUACGUCCUGUUAACCUUACAGUCAUGCCAUUUUUCUGUCAAUGUCUGGGGGUCCUGAGCCAGAAAGCUGGAAGGGAG
ensembl:lncRNA